rnacentral:tRNA from 5 species
GGGUCUGUAGCUCAGUUGGUUAGAGCAGGGGACUCAUAAUCCCUUGGUCGUAGGUUCAAGUCCUACCAGACCCACCA